rnacentral:rRNA from 1 species
GAUGAACGCUGGCGGCGUGCCUAAUACAUGCAAGUCGAGCGAACAGACGAGGAGCUUGCUCCUCUGAUGUUAGCGGCGGACGGGUGAGUAACACGUGGAUAACCUACCUAUAAGACUGGGAUAACUUCGGGAAACCGGAGCUAAUACCGGAUAACAUGUUGAACCGCAUGGUUCAACAGUGAAAGACGGUCUUGCUGUCACUUAUAGAUGGAUCCGCGCCGCAUUAGCUAGUUGGUAAGGUAACGGCUUACCAAGGCAACGAUGCGUAGCCGACCUGAGAGGGUGAUCGGCCACACUGGAACUGAGACACGGUCCCGACUCCUAAGGGAGGCAGCAGUAGGGAAUCUUCCGCAAUGGGCGAAAGCCUGACGGAGCAACGCCGCGUGAGUGAAGAAGGUCUUCGGAUCGUAAAACUCUGUUAUUAGGGAAGAACAAAUGUGUAAGUAACUAUGCACGUCUUGACGGUACCUAAUCAGAAAGCCACGGCUAACUACGUG